rnacentral:misc_RNA from 1 species
GUAGGUGAACCUGCGGAGGGAUCAUUAACACGUAUCCAAAACGUUCAAACCCAAACCGUGCUCUUUUGUUCCCAUAGGGGGAGGUGACUCGUAAGCCACAGAUGGAUUCUUUUUCUUCUUCUUCGGAGGAGGGGAGGGACUACUUACAGUCUAUCGAUCCUUUGAGAUCAGCCGAUUCUCUAUGGUGUAUUAAAGCCAUCUGGUUACUAGUACCAAACCGGUUUCGACCCGGAGUCUAGUAGCCUUAUUA